UGAUGGUAUCUUAUUACUCAUGUGGUUUCCAGGCACUGUUUCACAAACAGUUUUCCGGUCAUUGAGCCCUUCCUGACUGAGUUCCCCAACCUGUAUGUUGGUUUUACGGCACUGAUCACCUACUACAAGGCUGCCGAGGCCCGAGAUGCUGUCCGCCAGAUCCCUCUGAACCGCAUCGUGUUGGAGACAGACGCGCCCUAUUUCCUCCCAAGACAGGUUAAGAAAGAUGUCUGCCAGUUCGCUCAUCCUGGGAUGGGCAUCUACACGCUGCAGGAGCUCAGCCUGCUGAAGGGGGAGGACAUGCACACGGUCCUCAGCACCAUCCGGAACAACACCGUGCAGCUCUAUGGCAUAUAAUCUAAAGAUGGUGGUGGAUACAAACUAGCAAGAAAGAAGAGACGGAUGCAACAUUUAUUGAGCUGGUUUUAUGUGGCUUUUUUGUUUUAGAUGAUCAGUCUCGUUUUAAUCAAUCUGAAAAACUCCAUAGAAAUGCAACUAAAAUAAAUGAACACUUCUCUGACGGAGACGCUGUAUAUCAUUGAUUAUCUGAUCUAAAUUGUAUUCUAUUGUUUAUCAGAAAAAUUAAUUCCGAAGCGUUUUUUUAGGUUUUGUUGUCUUUGCUGUUUUGAAUCCCCUGUUUGUUCACAUUUGUUUGGAUAUUUGUUUUGUGUAGUUUGGGUUUAAACUGUGGGGAUGUGUUCAAAGUCUUU